rnacentral:rRNA from 1 species
AUGACGCCGCGGUGCACGUUCUCUUGUUCCCUUGGCCGCGGCAGGGGCACAUGCUCCAUUUCGCCACCGCCCUCGUCGAUGCCGGCGUCCAAGUCACCUUCCUCCACACCGAGUGGAACCUCCGUCGUCUUGCUCAGGCGCCUCCACCGGGCCUCCGCUUGCUGUGCAUCCCCGACGGCCAACCCGACGAUGCGCCGGGCCCACCGGGCGUACCGGGCCCCGCUCUCUGCCGCCGAUGCGCCGGUGACAUGCGUUCUCGCCGAUAGCACCAUUCCGUUCGCCUUCGACAUCGCUGACGAGCUCGGCAUCCCAUCGCUCGCCUUCGUCACGCACAGCGCGUCCAGCUACCUGGCGAUCCUGUCUAUGCCCAAGCUCGUCGAGCUCGGCGAGACCGCCUUCCCUGCAGACGACCUGGUGCGUGGCGUUCCGGGGAUGGAGGACUUCCUCCGGCGACGAGAUCUUCCUCGAGGACUCUCCUGCGCUGAAAAAGGGGGCGAAGACCCCUUGGUGCUCAAGCUCGCCGAGGUUACCGUUCGUUCCAGCAAGGCACAUGCGCUCAUAGUCAACACCGCAGCGUCCAUGGAGCGGUCAGCGCUCGCCCACAUCGCGUCGUGCACAAGCGACGUCUUCGCGGUAGGCCCACUUCACGUGAGGUCGAAGUUCGCCGCAAGCGCGAGCCUGUGGCGGGAGGACGACGGGUGCAUGGCGUGGCUGGACGGCCACGACGACCGGUCCGUCGUGUACGUGAGCCUGGGGAGCCUCGCCGUGAUCACGCAUGAGCAGUUCACUGAAUUCCUCGCAGGCCUGGCAGCCACCGGGUACGCCUUCCGCUGGGUGCUCCGGCCGGACAUGGUCCAAAUGGCUGGCUCCGCGCUCCUCGGAGAAACCGUCGAGGCAGUGGGAGGCGGCAGGGGGCGCAUCUGA